rnacentral:rRNA from 1 species
CCUACGGGAGGCUGCAGUGGGGAAUAUUGCACAAUGGGGGAAACCCUGAUGCAGCGCCGCCGCGUGAGUGAAGAAGUAUUUGGGUAUGUAAAGCUCUAUCAGCAGGGAGGAAAAUGCGGGAACCUGAUUAAGAAGCCCCGGCUAAAAACGUGCAGGAGGCCGCGGUAAUAGGUAGGGGGAAAGGGUAAUCCGGAUUUACUGGUUGUAAAGGGAGCGUAGACGGCAGCACAGGUCUGGAGUGAAAUGCCGGGGCUUAACCCCGGAACUGCUUUGGAAACUGUGCAGCUAGAGUGCAGGAGAGGUAAGUGGAAUUCCUAGUGUAGCGGUGAAAUGCGUAGAUAUUAGGAGGAACACCAGUGGCGAAGGCGGCUUACUGGACUGUAACUGACGUUGAGGCUCGAAAGCGUGGGGAGCAAACAGGAUUAGAUACCCGAGUAGUC